GUCCACGCCGUAAACGAUGUGCACUAGGUCGGAGCGGUUCUGACGCCGUUUCGGCCGCAGGAAAACCAUUAAGUGCACCGCCUGGGGAGUACGGUCGCAAGGCUAAAACUCAAAGGAAUUGACGGGGGCUCACACAAGCGGUGGAGCAUGUUGCUUAAUUCGAGGCAACGCGAAGAACCUUAUCCUGGGCUUGACAUGUACGGAUUAACUCUUGGAAACUUGAGCCACGCCCUUUGGGUGGAA
rnacentral:rRNA from 1 species